rnacentral:rRNA from 1 species
GAUGAACGCUGGCGGCGUGCCUAAUACAUGCAAGUCGAGCGAACAGAUGAGGAGCUUGCUCCUCUUACGUUAGCGGCGGACGGGUGAGUAACACGUGGAUAACCUACCUAUAAGACUGGGAUAACUUCGGGAAACCUGAUCUAAUACCGGAUAAUAUAUUGAACCGCAUGGUUCAAUAGUGAAAGACGGUUUUGCUGUCACUUAUAGAUGGAUCCGCGCCGCAUUAGCUAGUUGGUAAGGUAACGGCUUACCAAGGCAACGAUGCGUAGCCGACCUGAGAGGGUGAUCGGCCACACUGGAACUGAGACACGGUCCAGACUCCUACGGGAGGCAGCAGUAGGGAAUAUUGCGCAAUGGGCGAAAGCUUGACGGAGCAAUGCCGCGUGAGUGAUGAAGGUCUUCGGAUCGUAAAACUCUGUUAUUAGGGAAGAACAAAUGUGUAAGUAACUAUGCACGUCUUGACGGUACCUAAUCAGAAAGCCACGGCUAACUACGUG